AGGAAAUAUGAUUGGAACUCUACUCUAAGUUAAAUCACUGAAGUGUUAUUUAUAUAUUUUUUUCAAUCGAAGCCUUUGUUUUUCUAGGCUUUUGAUUAUAUUUUCAAACUUAAUUAGCAAGUCUACAGUGCAUUUAUGAGAUGAACACGUGCUUCCACAGUGUUUUACUAAUAGUUUCCAUCUUCAUUUGAGUAACACAGACCUUGCUAACAUGUAGUAUACUUUUCUUGCCAUUUGGCAAGUAUAUCUAUUUAGUUUGGUUUGUUUUCCACAAUUAAUGCUGACUGAUAACUGGGUUCUUUUCUCUUCCAGGUUGUGGAGACGAAUUUGGUUGCUUUUGACUGUCACUGGAUCAUUAUAAAUGAGGAAAUAAAUGAUCUGGAUGUACAGGAACUUGUAAGAUGGUCAAUUGGAAGGUUAACGAUUAUUCAACAGACAUUUCCAGUCCCCCAGAAUGUAAGUCAGCGAUGUUUCCGUUGCAACCAUCGGAUAUCUUCAACGUUGUGUGAUCCAGAGGAUCCAUUUUCUCAGAAUAUGGAGGCGCGGCUGCUGCAG